AAAGUGACUGGCAGGGUUAUGAUUCAAGCCCGGAUAUCGACGAUGGCACCUAUAACUCAAGCCAUUACACUUUUUGGGGGGCUGGUGUUAGUGCGGUGAUCUUCAUCGCCAUAAGUGUUGCUGUCGCGUUUAGAGUCGCUCGAACUCAAAGAAGGGCUGCUGUCAUCGUGACCUCAACGAGAGUUGCACCACCCACGUCUGUAGUCACAGUGUCCACCGGCAAUCCAGCCACCAGGGUUGGUCCGUAUCAACAGUUCGAGAACCCACCCAGCUACACCCCCAACUAGGUUGGGCAGUCUGCAGUUGGAGUCAUGCAAGCAAAUGCUUUGCUUAGAAGGCUGGUAUUUCAACUAUAGGCCUACAGAUCUCAAAGCCUUUUUAAACUCAUUUCAAUCAAGACAGCUUUGCUUUAGGUAAAAUUGUGUAUUGGAUUGGUCUGCUUUGAUGGAAUAAGUUCAGAUUUUUUUGUACAUGUAUAUGUUACUUAGACAAACUGAAUGUAUACGCAUGUAUAUUAUAUAUUAAUGGUUUACAUUAUAAAGUUGAUGUUUUUAGGAUGCACUUAGAUUUCCUAUGAAGAGUUUAUUUCCAAUACGCGAUAUUUAUCCAUUUGAAAAAAUAGUGAACAAUUUUCACGGUUAUGAAACUUUUAAGAAUACAAACAAUAUAACAACUGUUGCCAAACUACGUGUUUCAGAUUUAAUGUAUGCUCUGAUUGUGUUUAACUAUAAUAACAGCCGUCGAAACUGACAUUAAGCAACCAGGAGAGAGUGGGAUUCUUAAAGGGUACAACAUGGCGUUAAUCGGGAAUUGGAAAUAAACUCUCCAUAUUCAACUUUCAUUGAAAUUGCAAUGAGACGUGUCAAACGUUACUU